AACGAACGCUGGCGGCAGGCUUAACACAUGCAAGUCGAACGGGCACCUUCGGGUGUCAGUGGCAGACGGGUGAGUAACGCGUGGGAACGUACCCUUCGGUUCGGAAUAACCCAGGGAAACUUGGGCUAACACCGGAUACGUCCGCAAGGAGAAAGAUUUAUCGCCGAAGGAUCGGCCCGCGUCGGAUUAGCUAGUUGGUGGGGUAAUGGCCCACCAAGGCGACGAUCCGUAGCUGGUCUGAGAGGAUGANCAGCCACACUGGGACUGAGACACGGCCCAGACUCCUACGGGAGGCAGCAGUGGGGAAUAUUGGACAAUGGGCGAAAGCCUGAUCCAGCCAUGCCGCGUGAGUGAAGAAGGCCUUAGGGUUGUAAAGCUCUUUCAGCGGGGAAGAUAAUGACGGUACCCGCAGAAGAAGUCCCGGCUAACUUCGUGCCAGCCGCCGCAGU
rnacentral:rRNA from 1 species